UAUAUUCAGCAGGCACUGUGUGCAAGUAGGAAAGGGGGAAUAUCCCAGGAGCUACAAAAUUGUCUGAAAAGAGAAGUUAGGCCGCGUCAUGUGUCGAUGGACCACACUGCCUUGGAGAUAACUGGAACUGAUAGACCAGGUCUGCUGUCUGAGAUUUCGGCUGUGCUUACUCAACUGGAAUGCAAUGUCACAGCAGCCGUGGCAUGGACACACAAUGCCCGAGCAGCUAGCAUAAUCUACGUGGAAGACAAGCUGAGAGGUGGACCUAUUACAGACCCAAAGAGACUUGCCCAUGUAGAAGAGCAGUUAGACACUGUGGUUGAGGCCCAUCAUGGGAGAGGGGAGAGGAGGAGCGUCAGGUUGACCACACCAGUGGCUGGGCAAGCCCAUACUGAACGGAGGCUUCACCAGUUAAUGUGUGCAAAUAUGGAUUAUGAGCCUUGUCGGGGAUGCACAGGUACGGGUGUUGCUCACCGGAGGGAUUGUACCAAAAUUCAUGUGUCAAUAGAGUCUUGCAAGGAGAAAGGGUACUCGGUGGUGAAUAUGAGAAGCAGGGAUAGGCCCAAGCUCUUAUUUGACACGUUGUGCGCAUUAACUGAUAUGCAGUAUGUGGUGUUUCAUGCUGCGGUGAGCUCUACGGGCACCAUGGCUGAUCAGGAGUAUUUCAUUCGGCAUAAGGAUGGUUUCACUUUGGAUACAGAGAGCGAAAGGCAUGAACUCACCCAAUGCUUGAUUGCUGCCAUUGAGCGGAGAGUAUCUCACGGAUUGAGGCUAGACGUAUGCACUCACAAUCGAGUGGGAUUGCUAUCAGAUGUUACACGGGUUUUUCGGGAAAAUGGCCUGUCAAUAUCAAGGGCUGAGAUUGGCACGGAAGGUAACAAAGCAGUUGGAUCAUUCUAUGUCACUGAUGCUUCAGGAGAUGAAGUUAAUUCGCGGACGAUAGAAUUAGUGAGGAAAGAGAUAGGGGGAUCUAUCCUGGUAGUUAAUAAAUCACCGGGCUGGACUCCGAGGACUCCCUCCACAGGUAAUAUUCGCCGAAGUAGCAGUGGCAGAGUAGGUGAAGAUAAGCCAAGAUUCUCAUUAGGAAGCCUAUUGUGGUCUCACCUUGAGCGGCUGUCAAACAAUUUCGGAUCCAUACGAUCAUGAGAGUUGUAAUCUCAGGAGUUGCGUCUCAUGUUGUGUACUUCAUGCAUAUUGUAAAUAAUUAAUUUUGCAUGUAAGUAGAUAAGCAGUUUGCUAGUUUCCAUGGUAAUAAUCGAGCUUCGUGUUGUUUCUUACUAUACUAUCAUCACCUUGAAUGCAAUUUAUAAUUUACAUCCAAG
rnacentral:misc_RNA from 1 species